CCAAAUUCACCUGUCCCGUGUUAUUUACUAGUCGGGUUUAUUGAUUGCCCCAGCAAAGACGUCCAGUAUUCGUGUAGGGAUGUAUUGACCAUGUAUGCUAGUCGAUAGUGACUUCAUAACGGACAGAGUGAUGUAUGAAUAAUGGUGUUUUUCCUCUGUAGUUUCCGUUAUUCUCAGACAGGUGGUCUACCUCGCGAGUGAAUACUUCAUUAAAACUUCUUCGUGGUUUUCACCUGUGCUGUAAGAGAGCUAUCACAAGAAGGCCCUAGAAGGACAACUCCAACAGAACAAACAUUCCAUGGAUACAAGUUGGUGAAGGCCUCAACCACAUGAUGCAGUUGUUAAGCGCCACCUGCUGGUUAAUUAGUAAACAACUUCAAGAAGA